rnacentral:rRNA from 1 species
AUUGAACGCUGGCGGCAUGCCUUACACAUGCAAGUCGAACGGUAACGCGGGGCAACCUGGCGACGAGUGGCGAACGGGUGAGUAAUGUAUCGGAACGUGCCCAGUAGUGGGGGAUAGCCCGGCGAAAGCCGGAUUAAUACCGCAUGAGACCUGAGGGUGAAAGCGGGGGAUCGCAAGACCUCGCGCUAUUGGAGCGGCCGAUAUCAGAUUAGGUAGUUGGUGGGGUAAAGGCCUACCAAGCCGACGAUCUGUAGCUGGUCUGAGAGGACGACCAGCCACACUGGGACUGAGACACGGCACAGACUCCUACGGGAGGCAGCAGUGGGGAAUUUUGGACAAUGGGCGCAGGCCUGAUCCAGCCAUGCCGCGUGCGGGAAGAAGGCCUUCGGGUUGUAAACCGCUUUUGUCAGGGAAGAAAUCCCUUGGGUCAAUACCUCGGGGGGAUGACGGUACCUGAAGAAUAAGCACCGGCUAACUACGUGCCAGCCGCCGCCGUAA